rnacentral:rRNA from 1 species
CACGUAGGGCGCAAGCGUUGUCCGGAAUUACUGGGCGUAAAGCGUGCGCAGGCGGUUCGUUGUGUCGGCGGUGAAAGCCCCGGGCUCAACCUGGGAAUGGCCGUUGAAACUGGCGAACUGGAGUGUGGCAGAGGGGGGUGGAAUUCCGCGUGUAGCAGUGAAAUGCGUAGAGAUGCGGAGGAACACCGAUGGCGAAGGCAGCCCCCUGGGCUGACACUGACGCUCAGGCACGAAAGCGUGGGGAGCAAACAGG